AAUCAACGCUGGCGGCAGGCUUAACGCAUGCAAGUCGAGCGGAGAGAGGUAGCUUGCUACUGAUCUUAGCGGCGGACGGGUGAGUAAUGCUUAGGAAUCUGCCUAUUAGUGGGGGACAACAUUUCGAAAGGAAUGCUAAUACCGCAUACGUCCUACGGGAGAAAGCAGGGGAUCUUCGGACCUUGCGCUAAUAGAUGAGCCUAAGUCGGAUUAGCUAGUUGGUGGGGUAAAGGCCUACCAAGGCGACGAUCUGUAGCGGGUCUGAGAGGAUGAUCCGCCACACUGGGACUGAGACACGGCCCAGACUCCUACGGGAGGCAGCAGUGGGGAAUAUUGGACAAUGGGCGGAAGCCUGAUCCAGCCAUGCCGCGUGUGUGAAGAAGGCCUUAUGGUUGCAAAGCACUUUAAGCGAGGAGGAGGCUACUUUAGUUAAUACCUAGAGAUAGUGGACGUUACUCGCAGAAUAAGCACCGGCUAACUCUGUGCCAGCCGCCGCGGUAA
rnacentral:rRNA from 1 species